UUCAAGCAAACCUCCAAUUUUGUGAUAUCAAAUCUAAAAACUAAAAAAAAUAAGAGGAGAAAUCUAAUUAGUAGUAAGCUUAUAACUACGGUUAGUGCAUUCAAUGAUAAAUUAGGCUAGGACAAUGGAUGAGAUUGAAGAGGUAUUUAAUUAUAUUACUUCAUGAUGGUGUUAUUUAUAAUAAUUUCGUUUUUGCUUGCCCAUGGUCGAUCUAUUCUUUCUGUUAGAUGGUGUUAUUUAUAAUGAUUUCGUUUUUGCUUGCCCAUAGUCGAUCUAUUCUUUCGAUCAAAUCUCAAGGUAAAAAUUGGAUUUAUGGAUUUUAUAAAUUAGAUAAUUUUCACACUCAAAUGAUCUCUCUUUUCUAAAUCGCUUAACGUAGAUCUCACUUUAAUCUCUCUCCAAAGAUCAAAGCUAAAAAUAAAUAAAUUGAAUAGAAUAUUUAAAUUAAAUAAUUCAAUUCAAUAUUUUAAUUCUAUAUUAGAUUAUUAUUCUACGUUUAUUUUCAAAUUUUUUUAUUUGAAUUCCAAAUAUCAAAAUAUUCAUUUUAUUAAUAUUUCAUAAUAUGUUGAAUAUUGAUUCCAUUAAGAAUAAAAGAUAGUUUUUGCGUCUGUGAUAGUGGAUAGGGCCAACCAAUUGUUUAAGUGAAAUAAAUAAUCAAACUAAACUUACGGACUAGAGGAAAUAGAUUUGUCUAUCUACGAUCUAAUUAUAUUGGUAUAGAUUUUCGGUUUCGAUUACCAAGGAAUAGAAGCUUUGCCAAUUAAAUCUGAAGAUUCACUGUGCUCGGCACCAAGAGGAUUAUUAGUUAGUGCGUAUCAUUUUAAGAUAAUACAAUAUGGUGUGGAUCAACCAGAAGAGGUAUGUAUAAAAGUAUUUGCCGCUUAAACAAGACUCGUAUUUAAGCCUUAGGUAGUUGUUAGAUCGAGAUCCAUAUGAGGGUUUUGCCAUAUAUAAGAGAAUAAGAGAUCAAUAAUAGAUACCGAGCACGAUCGGAAGGAGGAUAGGUGUACUGAACCCGGUUAAUCUCCGGCACUCUCUUUUUGUUUAUUGCCAUAUUUAAUUAUAGGGUGCGAUUUGUAUAGAGCCUAGGCUCUAAACAAUCAAAUUAGAGCCUACCUUCAAAUAGUAUCAAGAAAUGUAGUUUUAAUACUGAAAAUAUUUGGAUAGCCUUAACAUAUAUUUUCAUCUUUAUUUAUAAACUUUAAAGCUUAAAAAAUAAUGUAGAUCGAUAGAUCUACGAAAACUCGAAAAUCUUGAAAAUUGACGGUCCAAAAAUGCGUUACAAAAUAUACUAUUUCCAAAACUUGAAAUCCAUUUUUUUCUCAUCUUCAUGCAUCUUGAUGUCGGGAUGAUCAAUUUGAGGAUAUUUGAGCAUAAAAAAAAUCUGUUCUAGUGAAAUUUUUGUGGUAGGCUCAAAUUUGAUUGUUUAGAGCCUCGGCUCUAUAUAAACUUUUGCUUAAUUAUAUUGUUUUUAUAUUCCCAAGCAUAAGAAUUCUUGUCAUAUUUAAUUAUAUUCUACUUAUAUUCCCAAGCAUAAGAAUUGUGGAUAUAUUUUUUGUUUAAAGAAAAUUGAUUUAAUGACAUUAAGGUUUUUAAGAACUUGAUUUAAUGGCAUCAAGGUUUUUAAGAUAUUGGAUUUGUUAGUUUUAUUUUCUUUGCAGCAAGAGUUAUUGUAAUAACAAUGAUUUUUGUCAAAAGAAAAGAAAACAAAAAAAGGGUGGAAAAAUAAAAAAUAAAAAAUUAUAUUCCACGGCAAGAUCACAUAGACCAGAAUAUUUUACCUGCCAUUGAUCAAGUGAGUGUUUCAUUGCCUUUCAGGAAUUUGUGCUUAACUGCAUCUGUGUAUUGAUAGGUAUUGUGGUUGACACUGGAAUUUCUCUCUCUACAUGAUUUGGUUCAUUUAUGUAGUCAGCUUGUGUAGCCAUUUUGUAUAACUUCAUUGAAAAUUACUAUUUUUUGUCUUAUUUUUGUAAAAUAAUUUUGGGCAAAUUUUCUAUACUGCAUAUGCCUUUCUCUAAUGCACCGGGUGAUCUUUCAAUGGAUUUUGCAGGUUUUAACUUCUAUUUAUGUCAUGUGUAGUCAUCUAGGCACACACGUGACUUCAUUGAAAUACAAAAGUUACUGAUUUUUUUAUCUUAUUUUUGUAAAAUAAUCUUGGUACAUAUGUGAAUUCAUUGAACUAUAAAAGUUACUGAUUUUUUUAUCUUAUUUUUGUAAAACAAUGUUGGACAAAUUUUGUGUAAUGCACAUCUUUCUCUCGUGCACGGGUGAUUGUUGAAUGAAUUUUACAGGUGUUAUUUUUAUAAAAUAAUUUAUCAAUUAUGCAAGUAUUAGUUUUGUAAAAUAAUUUUUGAUAAUUUUUUUAGUAGUACACAUCUACGUGUCAUACAGGGUAUCUCAUCUUUCUUUCAUGCACUGGAUGUCUCAUUUAAGGUGAUUAUUGUUCAAUGGAUUUUGCAGAUGUGAAUCCAUCCUAGUCGUCUUGCAAUGUGAAUCUGAUAGGGAAAAGAUAUUAGUAAUGGUUAAAGCUUUUGCCGUUCAGAUCCCCAAAGUGCAGAACAAUCACCUAAAUAUACGAUGUUAAAACAAAGGUAUAACUGGAAUUGUUUAAAAGUUGUUAAAACAAAGGUAUAACUAUAAUUGUUUAAAAGUUGUUAAAGCAAAGGCUGUUACUAAAAUGUAACCCACUUCGAAAAAAAGUGUAAAUGAAUUAAAUGUGAUUUGUUGUUC
rnacentral:lncRNA from 1 species